GUUCCUAGUUAAAUCUGCUACACGCUACAGCAGAGAAAUAAGUGCAAAAGACCCAGCCAGAGAGAGCAAGCCACUUUUCUGCUUUCCGAAGAUUCUGCUUUCUGGCUUUUUCUGCCAGAUGGGGUCUAAAUUUAUGGAAGACUGAGGACAGAAAAAUCUGUUAUGCAAAUUUUACUUCAGCCAAAUAUAAUAAAACUACCGUGGAACCGCUCUGUGAUCUGCAGUGAAGGACAGCUUUCAAGCAAAACUUUAUCAAUUGUAAGUAGAACGCUUACAGCUAUGUAAUACAGCUGAGUUGCAUGCCUUCUGUCUCCUGAGAUAUUCCUAGAUUAGAUCAACCUACUGUCCACGGACAAAU
rnacentral:lncRNA from 1 species